rnacentral:rRNA from 1 species
GAUGAACGCUGGCGGCGUGCCUAAUACAUGCAAGUCGAGCGAACAGACGAGGAGCUUGCUCCUCUGACGUUAGCGGCGGACGGGUGAGUAACACGUGGAUAACCUACCUAUAAGACUGGGAUAACUUCGGGAAACCGGAGCUAAUACCGGAUAAUAUAUUGAACCGCAUGGUUCAAUAGUGAAAGACGGUUUUGCUGUCACUUAUAGAUGGAUCCGCGCCGCAUUAGCUAGUUGGUAAGGUAACGGCUUACCAAGGCAACGAUGCGUAGCCGACCUGAGAGGGUGACCGGCCACACUGGAACUGAGACCCGGUCAAGACUCCUACGGGAGGCAGCAGUAGGGAAUCUUCCGCAAUGGGCGAAAGCCUGACGGAGCAACGCCGCGUGAGUGAUGAAGGUCUUCGGAUCGUAAAACUCUGUUAUUAGGGAAGAACAAAUGUGUAAGUAACUAUGCACGUCUUGACGGUACCUAAUCAGAAAGCCACGGCUAACUACGUG